GCACCUCUGUGAAGCAACAGAAAAAUGUUUCAAUGAAAAGUGAAUCCAGAGAUAUACCUAUCUGGAUCAUUAAGCCUCUCAAUAACAACUCUAAAACUCUAUUCCUCUAUUUCCCACAUUCCUCUAUUUCUUCCAAGUUAAUCCUGUCUGAUAAGCAUUAUCAGUGAAUUUGGAAAGUAUUAUAAAAAGAGAAUAGAAAGGCAAGAAAUCUUAAUACAGGAUCUAGAAUAAUACGGCAUUAGCACUGUUAACUGAAUUAAAACUGUAUGAAACAGGCAAAAGUCUUAGGCAAGCAGGUAAGGGAACCAAAACCACCCUUAAAGCAGUCGCCAGUGAUACUAAUAGCACUUACUAACCGAAUAUGAUAUGAGUAACAAAAACAUAUAGGGUCUCACAGUUACUAAAUGUUCAUCAGUGGGAUCACCAUGAAAAUCUUCUGGAAAUAGUUUAUGGAUAUACCACUUAGCCCUCAAAAAAUUAAGUUUCUUCUAGGGUUUUUCUAGAUUAUACAACUAUUUUAUGCUGUACCAUAUAAUUUAAUGUUGGCUUAUAUACUGUCUUUUAUGUACUCAAUGUUCUUUCCCAUAUAUAUGUAAGCUUUCACUUCUCAACUGGAUUUUAAGGUCCCUAUCUUCUACUUUUGUCUUUCCCAUGGUGCCAGGCACACAGUAGGCACUGAAUAAAUGCAUGCUGACCUCACCUGUUAAGUUUUUCAGAGAAGAGGGCCUGGCCUGUGUAACUUGGGUGAAAUUUCUAUACCAGAGAGAAGCAAGUGUUUCCUAGAGAGCCCUUUCUUUUCUCCAGAAGAUAUGGCUUUUGAAGAAAUGGGGCUUCACUGUGUUGCCCAGGCUGGUCUCGAACUCGUGGGCUAAAGUGAUCUGCUCGCCUCAGCCUCCCAAAGUGCCGAGAUUACAGGCAUAAACCACUGCGCCCUGCCAACAAUGACAACCUAACAGCAACAGGCACAUGGCACCCAGACUGUGGUUCCAACUAUAAGGAACCAGGACUCCAUGGAGGAAUAGCUGAUUCCAAGUCCAAGGCAUAAGCAGAGCUCAAAAAAAAGGAAAGAAUACCUGCUCUUGUUAGGUUAAGAAGAAUAAAAGAAGUGCUAUCACUUGGCUGUAGAUCUUGCAACAAGCUAGAAGACUCUGAAGUGGACAAAAACUCCGAGGAUUUCUGUACAGUCUGAGCUCUCGUCUCCUCUCCGUCUGGACCCACAUUCACCCGAAG